CCACGUUUAACUGGCCAGAAUUGUUUUCCUAAUUCUCUUCCUUGCCUCCAAAACCUUUUCCCCAAAUAAUUCCCUCCUCACUUUGCCACUUUAGUUUAAUCGGCCAAACCUAAUUCCAAUUCUCCCACCCUCCAAAUUUCUUGUGUGUGAUAUCAUUCUUUCUCCUGGAUUUUGCAAGAAAUUUUAUUCAGCUCGUCAAAUUGCCACGAUUGGCUGCAGUCGAUUUUGUAGUCGAUUUUGCGAGAGGGAAUUAUUCAGCCACGAUUGGCUGUGAUAUAAUUCUUUCUCCUGGACAUAAUAUUCAUCUUGGGUCAAAAAAGUUUCGGCUGAAUCGACUACACAUUUUGAGCUCUUCAAGUUGUCUUCAAGGUAUGCCAAUAAUCCUACUAUUAAUUUGUAAAUUGUCUGGAAAAUAUAAGUACAUAAUCUUGAAUUUUGAGAUUACGUUUUCAAUUUCUUGCUAUGGAAAUACAAAUAAAUAUGGAGGCUGUUCUUCUGUAUUAAUUUUGAAAUUACAUUUUGAGAUUUGGCAUAUUUGAAGUUGUCCUUUUUGGUUGGUUGUUGCGCUAAGAUAGAGUGGGAUUUUAUCCCCAAUUUUAGGGAGAUCACGGGACUAGGAAAUAAAGGGGAAGUGGCUAGAAGAGGGGUAAUGGAAUCUGCCGUAGCUACUGGUGUUUGAUAACUGUGCUAUACAGAACACAAGCUUUCCCAUUGGUUCAAUCAAAAACUAAGCACUUCUAAUGGAUUUUGUUAUACACGUGAUUAUUUUAAUCAAAGGAUGUCAGAAUUUGCCAUAGAUUAAGGGGUAAUGGAAUUUUUUUCAAGGCAUGGGGAUAACAUAACAUGGGAAUAUAUGAUUUUUCUUUGGUGGAGUGCAGUGCAAUUUGCUUGCUUUGUGACUUUUGGCAUUAUUUUUGAGAUUUUAAUUCAUUUUUUCGAUUUUUCGAAGAAGAUGGUUUUUCUGAAUUAGAAUGUGUAUACUAUAAUCAAGAAUUUAGUACAUUUGGCACUUUGGCAAUGGAUUCCAAUUCAUCAAUUUCUUUUGUGUAUGUUAUUUCUAUGGUUGGAAAGGCAUUGUGUGUUUAAUAUUGCAAUGAGAAUGAUGAUACUCUGAUUGCAAAUAAUAUAUUCAUGUAAAGAUGUCCUUAAACUGGGACAAAUAAUUUAGUCAAGAUUCUUCUUCUCAUUCUAUAUUAACAGUGCACUUUGCAGCUGGUUCUGUAUUGAGUCUUUUGAUCACUAUGUGUUAUUCUGCAUUAACAAUUCACUGUUUGUUUUUAUGCGAAUUCAUCCAUGAUAAACAUGCAAAAUAUUUGCUUCUUUACCCUAAAUUUAUUAAGAAAAAUGUUCAUUCGGCCCAAAUAUUUGUUUUCUAUGUCUGAUCUUUCCAUGUAAUCUAGAAAUCCAGAAGAUGAGGAUGGAACAAAAUUUGUUGUAAAUCUUCAAAUAACUCUAAUCAGAUGAUUAAAUUUCCAAAAUUUGAUUUAUCUAAGGUCCAUAGCCAUUCAAGUCAUGCAAUCAAAAUAAUGUACCAUUUUCAACUUUAAGAUUAUUCAAUUAACGAAAAAUAAAAAGUUCGGAGAUAAUAAAUUAAAAAAUAAGAAAGAAGUGAGCUAAGUUUGCAUUGUAUUUUUUCUUGAUCAGGGCUAUUGAAUAAAUCUCAACCAUUUUUUUGAAGGAUAAGCAUAAUUAGCUCUAGACUUAUAACAUAAUGUCUAAUAAGGUGGUCUUUUCAACUUUUUUCAAUGCUGAUAAUUAAUUAAUACUUGCCUUCAUUUGCAUUUAAGUUCAUCAUUAUCUCUCUAAUUUUCCUUUAUUUUGGGAAGUGCCAAACAACUUAAGUAGGUCCAAGCAAAAACAAAAGUAAUUUUGUCAUUCCAAAGCCUUCCACAAUUUAUGUAUACGAAAAUUUCUAUAUGGAAUAGAUGGAUCCUGUCAUGGAUUCUCAAUUAUUUGGAUCUAAAAUCUUACCUGCAUCUUUAAUUGUUCACACGUGAGAUGGUAUGAUACAAUAUUCAUUCUUAAAAUAAUUCAGUAAAAGCUAUUGGAUAAGUUUUAGAGAAUCAAUAUUCUAACAAGUUGUUAUUACUAUUGUUAAUAUGAAAUUAAAAGCGCGAUUUAUUCAUAGAUCCCAGCAGGUAAAGCAAUCUUUCUUUUCUCUUUUGAGAAAAGCAUGAAAAAUUAACUAUUAAAUUUAUGAUGAUCUGCUGGUCAAAUAAUCAGUUUUUUUCAUCUAUAGAUAAGCAGAACCAAGAAUAUAUCACUGGUUUGUACAUGUCAUCACCGAGGUCCUACAACCACUUGAACCAAGGAUAUUAAGAUGAGAAUAUAUAACAUAACAAUUGAGAUGUCAACAAAUGGAAUUGAUAAUAAAUGAAGUGAAAGACGACGACUCAUAAUGUAAUUGGACCAUAUUUUUGUUUAGCUUAAAAGAAAUUUAUGCACCAUUAGAACAAGUUACGAAGAGGAAGAGGUAGAUCAAUAUUAAUAUGAUGUUUCCACAGUUAACAAGGAUAUAUUUUCAUCAAAUCUUCUAAUAUUAGCUAUGAAAUGACCAGAUAGACAGGGAAAAAAAAUCACACUGCAAACCUCAAAUUUAAAAGGAACAAGACCUUUUUUUUUUUUUUUUUUUCUCUUCCUCUUUCUUUUAGCCAUCUUACCUUUGGGGCAGUACCUCAACAUCUUGUUUCUUGCUCCUUAUAAAUGAAUAAAGUUGGCUCGAGCUCUUUCUUGUAUGUAUGAGCAAUUAGAGGAGAGCGAGAAUGAGGAAAGGGAUGGGGUGAAUCUGCAUCACGAGGACUAGAUGCAAUGGAUAUAAAUAUGUCAUGUUAAUCGUAAAAAUUAUUUUACUGGGUAUUUUGAAUGAUUAAUGAAGAAAAAUGAUAUCCUCAUGUUUAUUUUAUGCCUAAUUUUUUUAUUGUAUUAUUUCUCAAUUGAAUAGAAAGUUUUGAUUAUUACUUAAAAUAUAUCGUACGUGUUGCACAAAGGUUGUUGCAUAAGAGAGCUUCCUUCAAUUCAAAUUGCAGCAAGGUAAAUUAUAUAUAUAUAUAUAUAUAUAUAUAUAUAUAUAUAUAUAUAUAUAUAUGUAUAUGUAUAUAUAUAUAUAUUUGAGUAUAUAACUAGCUAAAUAAUAAUGGUGUCAAUUUCUGGGAUUUUAUGUGACUUGUAUCAUAAAUGGAAGGGACUAGAAACUUGUGUGGUCAAAUAAGUGUGUUGCAUGCAGCUUUUAGUCUAGUUAACAAAACAAAUCUAUAAAUUUCAUAAUUAAACUUUUGCGUUUAAUAUUUGUUAUGUUGACAUAUAUUUUUGUGUAUCAUAUCCAUUGUAGAAUUAUAUACAGCAGGUGAGCUAUGGAUAGAAAUUGGAUACAUAAUCUCGAUAGAACUAGCGUUGAAUAUUUGUCAGGUAUUGAGGAAUUGAUUAGAGUUGCAAGCAACCAUGUCAAUCAUUGAGGUCAUUCCAAGUGCCCUUACCAAAAGUGUAAUAAUUGCUCUUGGAGGCCAUUGAGUGAAAUACGACAAUACUUGAUCAUGCAUGGGAUGUCAUACAAUUACACUACAUGGAAUCGUCAUGGAGAAUGAUUGGGGACUGCGUCAGGUUCCUCUUCAAAUAACUUGUUAUGCAACCCAAGAUUGGCUGAUGACAUUGAUUGUGAUAAUGAUCAAGUAAUGGAAAUAAUCAAUAAUCUGUAUUCACAUGCCUCGCACCAUCAUGAGCAAAAUGUUUUAGAGGAAGAUGAAGUAUUACUUGAGGAUGAUACAUUAGGAAAUAAUCAAACGUCGAAGGUGCAUAGGGAAGAGAUAGAUAAGUACGAAAGGUUGCUGAAAGAAGCACAAAAAGAACUUUACCCUGGUUGUAAAGAUUUCUCUGCGCUGACAUCUAUUAUAGAGUUGAUGCAACUAGAAGUGAGGAAUUUGAUGACCAACAAAUGCUUUGAUGAGCUUAUGAGCAUCUUGAAAAGGAUGCUUCCGAACGAAAAUCUAUUGCCUUCUACUCAUCGGCAUGCCCGUAAAAUUUUAAAAGAUCUCAGAUUGGGCUAGGAAAAAAUCCAUGCAUGUAAAUAUGAUUGUGCACUAUUUUACAAGGAAAAUGAAGGGUUAGAUAAGUGCCCCAUUUGUAAUGAGCUAAUAUAUCAGAAUAGUUCUGAAGAUAAGAAAAAGAUUCCUCAAAAGGUAUUGCGUUAUUUUCCAAUAAAGCUAAGAUUACAGCGACUAUACAUGUCAAUGCAUAUUUCCAAUGAUAUGAAAUGGCACAAGAAUGGGCGAGUUGAUGAUGGUGACAUGAGGCAUCCAGCACACACAAUUGCAUGGAAGGAAUUUGAUAAGAUGUAUCCUAAUUUUGCAGCAGAGUCACAAAACAUAAGGUUGGGCCUUGCAACUGAUGGUUUUAGCCCAUUUAGGGAUAUGAACAAACCUUAUAGCAUGUGGCCUGUGGUGGUUGUUCCUUAUAACUUGCCUCCAUGGAUGUGCAUGAAAAAAGAAUUCACCAUGCUAACCUUAUUAAUUCCUGGUAGACACGAACCUGGCAAGGACAUUGAUGUUUAUUUUUGCCCUCUAAUCAAUGAACUGAAUGAAUUAUGGGAAAUUGGUGUGCGUACAUAUGAUAAAAGCACUGAUUCCAUGUUUAACUUACGUGUUGCUAUGCUGUGGACUAUUAAUGAUUUACUUGCUUAUGGAAAUUUAUCAGGUUAGAGUACGAAGGGUUAUAAUGCUUGCCCUAUUUGUAAUGAUGAUGGAACAUCUGAAUGGUUUAGUGACAAGGUUUGCUAUAUGAGGCAUCGACAAUGGUUGCCAUGGGAUCAUGUGUGGUGCAAGAGAAGGGAUUCCUUUGAUGGGAAAUCCAAAUUUCAUGCAAGAUCUAGACAAUUAUCGAGCGAUGAAAUUUUAUCUCAAGUACAAAAUAUAAACUUUGGCCAGAUUGGUAAACAUCCUGAUAACCCAGACAAAAAAAAAUGAUUGGAGUUACCAAAAUAUGCAUCAAGGAGGAGUAUUGAUGGUUGACACAUAUUUUAGGAAUAUUUUAGAAGAUCCUAGAAUUGCUUGGCAAGAAUAACAAAAAAUUAAAUUAUGUAGAAUUCACUAGUGAAACAUGGGCACUAAGAAAGCUUGUUGUGGUUUGUAGGCACAUGGAGAGUUAUCUAGAAAAAAUCAUAUUUAAGCUAUGGUCCAUAAAUAAGGCACGAGUCUCUCAUUUAUAAGCAAGCAAAAGCCAUUGUCAUUCUAAUAAAGUUCAUUUUUCUUAUCCACUUUGUCUACUAACUUACUUUCUAUCAAACUCUUCCAUACUACUAACUUCCAACAAAAAGCUAAUUACUUUCUACCUCCAAAAUUAUUCCAUACAAAACAUAUUAAACCAUCUAAUAUAAUCUUAUCACUACAAGAAAAACCAUCAAAAAUCGAUAACGACAGAAGAAGAACGAGGCUUGUGCUCGACGUAGAGAGUUUGCAACUCUACGAAAAUUUUGUUUUGAUUUUUGAUUUGUUUAAAUGUCAAAACCCUAUAUAUUGUUAAUAAUUCAUGAAUUUGCGUGAUUAGGGAUAAUUUGAUGUCUUUUGCCUAAAUUUUCUAUUUUAAGUUGUAAUCAUGGGCUGAACUUUGUUUGGCAAAUUUUGACACAAAUUUUAAUGUGUACAAUUUUUUGCGUUUAAGCGUGUAUAGUCGUCAACAAAAUGGGUUAGCCACAUUAUCAUGUGCAUACUACAUAUGUGAUGUAUUUUGAAAAUGCAUCAUGCAUAUGAGGGCAUAUGCAAAGCACAUGCGCGUAUUUUAGAACACUGAUUUUGUUAGAUGAAGGAUGAAAACAAUCAGAUCAUUUUCUAACGUUAAUUCACCAGUUGAUAAAUUUACAACGGUUGUAUCAAAAUGGUUUUUACCCUUUGAUCUUAGCUAUAAGGUUGAAAUAUGGAGAAUUACAUGUAACUUAAACAUAGUCUAAUCCAAGGAGGGAGCAGAAAAUGUGCACAUCAGUUGGAAAUUACUAAUGCCCGGUUGGAGGAAGAUUGUCAAGUCACCCCAGUAAAUGUGCACAAAUUAGGAUCUUCAUGCACAAAGAUGGCCUUGGAAGAUGGAUAACAAUGAAAAAUAAUGACCAGUUCAGAUUUGAUCCAAGUUUAGUAGCAACCUCGACUCCUGCACAUAAUGAUUUAGCAGAGCAACUUCAACAACGUGAUGAUCUUUGUGACUUAAUGCAUGCUUUUAUGUUUGCAACUUAAUUAGAGAUGUGUAAGUUUAUAUAUGAAUAGAGGAUCGAGGCUAUUGAUUAUUAUUGGAUCAUUCUUUCGACUGAGGCAAAGAUCGACAAGAACUGAUAAUUGAUAAAUCGUUCAUAUAUCACAAAGGUAGUCAUAAUCCUAGUACUAUACCUCAUUGAAUGUUACUCUAAAAAUAUUCAUGCAUGCUCAACUUAGCUAAAUUAGUUAGUAAUUUGAAAAUCAAUCUUCGAAAACCAUAAUUAAUCUUGUGCGUUCUUUUUAAAAUUCAGUAUGAUUAAAGUGAAGUCAAUAAAAAAUCUUCAAUUGUCCAUUCAUCAUUUUUUACUUGUAAACAAUUUAUUCUUUUGUGGAAUAAAAUUGAUAACGUUAUGCAUAAUAUCAUAAGAUGAUUUCUUUAUACUAAGUGCUGGAGCUGUACUAACUAUUAGCUUUAUUGAACACUUGAAAUAGAAGUUCGUCCCACCAAUGGAAAAGGAAUAUAAAAUAAAACCCAGAUUUGAUUAAUUUUUUUGUAUCAAACUAGAAGAUAAUGAUUUUGUUACUAUAAUAUGAAUAGAUGUUUAGGAAAUACCCUUAUAGCGUUCUUUACAAAAAAUUCCUUCUUAAUAUUCGUUUUUAUUCUACCUCAAACCUUUUUAUCUUCUUUAGUAUUUUCCAAGAAGUCAAUGAAUUAUAGUAUUUUUUUUUUUUUUAAGUGUGGUCACAAUAAUAAGGAUCCUCAAUUGGACAUUAACAUAUAUGUAUAUUUAUAAUACUUUCAACUUUUAUUAUCAAAUUGUCUUCCAUUGCCUGGAACAAAAGAAUAUGGAAUACUGAAUAUGCAUACUAUGCUUUUCCAUAUGAAUUUCGUUGUAUUAGAAUCUGUGAUCCUUAUAAUUAACUCUGCUUCAAACCGUUUUGUAAAGUAAUCAAUAGCAACUAUCAUAUAUUGGGCUUCGGCUUGGCCCUUGGAUAAUGGACCCACCACGUAUAUGCUCCAUCUUUUAAAAAAAGUAGUGGACUACUUAUUGUGAUUAGUUCUUGGGGAUGAAGUGGAGAUAUGUUAGAGAACAUUUGGCACAUGUCACACAGCCUACCAUGAUUCAAAAAGUCCUUAUUCAUGGUCGGCUAGUAAUACCUCUGCCUCAAGAACUUUUUGCCGUUGAUAAACCACCUUCACUACUGUAACAAAUUCAUUCUUGUACCUCACACAAUAGAUUAUAACUCGUCCAUUAUCAUAAGGGAAUGGAGAAAUUACGUUUGGACAUGAUUUCACACAAUAGAUUAUAACCCAUCCAUUAUCGUAAGGGAAUGGAGAAAUUACGUUUGGACAUGAUUUCAUCCUUUAAUAUGAACAGAUUGCUCCCAGCUUCAGCUUUUUAGCCUCGGCCAUAUCGGUUAGAAGCUUAUGAUUCAUAAAGUAAUUGAAAAAAUCUUUCAUCGACUUGGCUUGUUGACAAAUAAUAAUUAUCUCAUAUUUAGCCUUGGUAGAACACUUCUCUAGGUACUCAAUUCGAACAACCUUCAACAGUUGUGAAUCCUUAUUACUAGUCAAUUUGGAUAGAGCAUCGGCACUAUUGUUCUCCGCAUGAGGGUUUUGAAGAAUUUAAAAUUUUCUUGAAAUUUGAGAGUAAAUUCAUGAAAUGUUUCAAAUAAAGAGCCAUGUUCUUGUCCUUAGCUGCAAAGCGACCACUCAUUUGAUUCACUACAAGCUUGGAGUCACUAUCUCUUUUACACCAUCUCCUUUACUAAUUCCAUCCCAGCUAUCAGUGCCUCAUAUUCUGCCACAUUAUUUGGAGCUUGAAAAUUGAACCUCAAGGCGCAGUUAAGAUGAUGUCCCUCUGGCCUAAUUAGCAAUAUGCCUCGUCCUUAUCCCAACGCAGACUUUCAGGAUGAGACAUCAAACAAUUUCCAUUGUUUAUACCUGGCUGACUCAAGUUCUUUAACAUCCGUCGGAACUACAGGCCCCUCAGUGAAUGCCACACAUCUUGAUAGUUGUCCUCGGUCAAGACUGAAUGUUGAAUUGACUGAGUUCAAUUGUCCACUUCGUUAACCUCCCUAAAAAGUCAGGCUUUUGGAGAACUUGCCUCAACAGAUAAUUUAUUAAGUACCUCUAUGAUAUGGACUUGAAAUACAGCCUAAAUUUCCUAGAAGCUAUAAUUAAUGCAAGAGACAAAAUUUCCAUGUCUGAUGUAUGCCUAAACUAGUAAAGCACUAGUGGCCCUUUCCAAAUCAGACAAAUAUAUUUACAGGACUUCCCAUUGAACUGGUUUAGACAAUGAUGAGCUUUACUGAAAUGCUUCUUUAGGGCCACGAUGACCUCUUCACAUUCUGAGAUCCAUUCGAAUUUCUUCCUUUCCUUGAUAGUUUUAAACAAGUGGACUUCAAGACUAAGCGACUUAUGGUUGCUAUCCUUCCAGUUCGACUUUGCACCUCCUUCAGAUUUUUACGAGAUUCAUUUCUAAAUAGUCCUAAUCUUUUCUGGAUUGGCUUCAACUCCUCUUUCGUUAACCAUGAAUUCCAAAAACUUGCUGAGGCAGCCUUAAAUGCACACUUCAUGGGAUUAAGCUUCGUCUGAUAGUGUCGAAUAAUGAUAAAUGCUCAUUCGAUGUGAGUUUGUGCUUGCUUGCCUACAAGAUUUGCACCAACAUAUUAUCUAUAAAUAACUCCAUAAUUUUUUGGAUGUAAUCAGCAGAUUCAACUCACUAAUUGCUGAUAGGUGACCCAACAUUCUUCAAUUCGAAAGGUAUCACUAUAACAAUAUAGACCUGGAUCUAUGAUGAAUGAGAUAUGUUCUUCAUUUGGUUCAUACAAGGGGAUCUCAUUGUAAUCUGAAUAAGCAUCCAUGAAGCUUACCAUAGCACAUCUGUUGUCGUAACAAUUAAUUGAUCAAUGUAAGAUACGGGGAAGAUAUCCUUCGGACAUGCCACGUUUAGAAUACCUUUGGACUUUCGUAUUGGGAUUUAGGUUGGCCACCAAAGUUCAAAUAAUGUAGUUCCUAAUAUAAAGUCAUUUGAUAUUAACUUGUCAACCUCUUCAACGUGGCUGCAUAUCUCUCUAGGUUGAGGAGCAUCCUCAUUUCUUUAUGAGGAUGAAAUUUGGGAUCAGUAGAAUAGCACGAUACAUUCGAAUUGAUCCCCACCAUAUCUUCAUACCUCCAUGAAAAAACAUCUGAAUUCCUUUCAGAAACUCUUCUAGACCCUUUCCUAGUCUCUCAGACAAAUCAUUUUCAACUUGGAGUAUUUUGAUUCUGUAUCGCCACAUGCUUGUUUCUAGUAAUUAUCAUAUCUAUCUGGAUUAUAUAUUUAUUGAUGCUACAAUUUUAAUUAAGUGUAACAUGUUUAUAAUUUUAGCAAACAGAUUAUAUUUUAUCCAAUAUAUCAAUUCUAUCAUGUACUUUUAACUUGUCUUACUUUUAAAUUAAGCUAAACGUCAAUUUUAGAAUAUUUCCUACUUAACAAGCACAUUUUAGUGUAAUUUAGUAUAAAAUAAUAUUUUAAAUCGAUAAAAGUAAUUAAAUGAUUCAAAUAAGUUAAUAAGAUAAAUAAGAAAUCUUAAAAUUAAUUAGCACGAAUUAAGCCAAUGAAUUGUCAUUAGGUUAGAAAUUAAGACCUAUUUUACUUCACCUCCUUACAUAUAAAAGUCGACUGCAUAACAUUCAAGAACGAUUUCGUGCUUUAUAUUCUAGAAAUGGGAAAUUUGUUGUGAGGUGGUAAAUUUUUAUUAUAUUACUUCAAAAUUGACGUUUGAUUUCAUUUUGCAAUGAUUAUAUUACAAUUGAAAUUAUUAAAACAUGUUUAUAAUAAGUUUGCAAAAAAUCGAUGAAUGUGUGUAUAUAUGUUGUUAGUGUUAUUUGUAUGUGAGUACACGCAUAAAGGUCCAUGGGUAUUUUUUAGUCACAAUGUAUAUAUGUGGUAUGAAUGUACAUGUAUAUUUUAUAAAUAGGUAUGUGCAUAGUCAUUAGAACUAGCCAGAAUAUUGACUCCGUUGAGGUACUAGAUCUAGGGUUACUGAUGAAACCGCUAGGUCCAUGCUUAAAAAUUAUAUAUAUUUAUUAAAAAUAUAAUUUAUUCUGAGAUGAUUAAAGUUUUAAAAUUAUUUGUUCGAAUUAUUUGUUAUAAACUAGAGUGAAACCAAUAAAUUUGUAUGUAUUAUAAUGAGAGUCAAAGCCCCGUAUUUUUUUAGAAGAAUUAGGACUACAGGGGACACAACUGUCAUAAUGACUAGGACUACAAGAAUAUAAAAGUCAUUCAUAAAUACUACUAUAUUUUACAACACUUCACCUUAAAUAACUAUUUACUCAAUAAUUAUCUUAUUGAAAUAUUAUUUGGCAAAGAUUAGACAAAAAUGCCAACAAAUGAAAAAAAUAAUUUGGAGUAAUAAAAUACUAUCUCGUUAAAACCUUGUUAAGAAAACCCAAUGGAACAAAACUUGAUUGAAGGACAAAGAGUACAACUACUUCCUCUGAUUUUAAUUCUUGUAUUAAAAGAUCCAUGCCUUGUACAUCAAUGUCUUCAGUAUCAUAUCUUUUACAUCAAUGUCUUCGAAUAACAGCAUUUUCAUACAAAAUAUUUAUCAACAUUUAAUUAUUGUAGUAACAUGAUAAUUCGAAAAAUAGCUCUUACCAAUCUGUUCAUGAGUCUUAUAUAUAUAGGAGUAUAUUUUGAGGGUAAAUAUCUUGUAUAUUACAAACAUUCAUCACGCAAAGAAUAUGCCUAAUUAAAGCCCUUUUAGGAAAAACUCUAUGGGAAAAUCCCAAUGAAGGAAUAAAGUAUUAUUCUUUGGAUACGCUAUAAAAAUUGUCAUGACAAAAACAUUGCCAGGAAAACAGGGGAACAAACCUUAGUCAAGGAAAAAAGAGUUCGUGUCGGUCGUGUUUUAUAACUAUAUCUAUGUGCGCAUUAUAUGUAUAUGUUUAUGUGUGUAUAUAUGUAGGCUUGUGUGGGUAUUUUUAUGCAGGUAGCUAUAUAUAAAUAUAUAUGUCCCUACGUAUAUAGGCUUGCAUAUAUAUAUAUAUAUAUUAUACCUAUGUUUGAGCUCCAUUUUUUUUAAUUGAAAACGAGUUUUAUAAGUAUGAAUUUUUGAAGAAUAUAUUGUUAAAAAGUGAACUAAAUAUUUUGAAUUUGUGUUCAAAAUAUUUUAUUAUAAAUAUGUGUGGUUGAAAAUGAGUUUGUUAAAAGAUGAUUUUUUUUGAUAAUAUAAAUCAAACAGGGUCUAUAUGUAUCUAAACAUGAAUCUGUGUUGUAGUUUGUGUAUAUAUGUUCUUUUUAUAAUUUUCUUGAAUGGCUUAUUAGUUUGAUAGUUAUUAAUUAGUUUGUAUCUAAUGAAUUUAUGAUGUCCUUUUACAAUGAAUUCGAAAUAUAUUUUUAUGAAUCUUAAUAAUUUUGUUUACAUAAAGGGUUUUAUAAAAAUCAAUAUGUAAAAUUAAUUUAAUAGAAUAAUGUUUGAGGUUUAUAUUUAAACAGUGCAUUUUGAAGAAAUUUCUAAAUUAAUGGUAAUGCAUUAGAAUUUUGGGCACAUUUAUUUCGAAAUAAUGUUAUUUGUAGUCCUUUACUACUCUAGUUCUUCUACAUGGCUGUUAGUGAAUUGAUGCAUAUGGCAGUAAAAAACUAACACAAUAAUGCAUCAAAUUAUUAACCGCCACAUGUAUGUCACAUAGGGCGUGAGUGAUAGCAAAUAGUAUUACUCUUUUAUUUUAUGGGUGGUUAAGAAUAUCUCCACCCAUCAUUUGAAAAAUAAAUUUACUCAGAUCAAUGUAAGUAAACCUUCUCGUAUUUUCAUGCGUAAGUCGUAUGAUUAAAUGUAUACACGUGUUUCCUAAGUUGUCAUUAUGUAAGCAUGAUACUUGAUUAUUAACUUUUAUGUCAUUAAAGCUUCUUAUGAAAUAUUCAUAAAUGCCAAUGCACCCAUAAGCAUAUAUGAAGUUUCAAAACAUAAAAAGUUUUCAAAUGUCAAUGAAUAAAAAAAUAUUUGAAAAAGAUGUGUCUUGAAUGUUUUUGUUAAGAGGUAUAUGCCUAUGCUAUGAAAGUUGUGAUUGGAAAAUUGGGGGUGGUGGACCGACACAUUCGACCAAUGUUUAAUAAUGAAGGUUUAAUGUUUAAUAUUAACCACUUUGCAACUCUUAAGGUAGAAUAAAUUGGGCUCCAAAUAACAAUAGUCCACUAUAUUUUGAUUGGCUAGACGAUGCACCAAGUAAACCGACAAUAUCGAAGUUAAAGUUUUUAAAGAAAUUGAAGAAAAUGGGAUACACAUUGGAAAAAUGUAUUUAUUUUAAAGUAAUUCAUAUGCACAUAACAUAUUUGAGGAUUUAUUUCAUUUUGUAAUAAUGAAAUCCUUUAAUUUAAUCAUCUUAUUUUUUUAUUAAGUAAAAUUGUUCUCUACUAUUUAUUUUGCACAAAUAAAAUCAUUAAUUUUUAUUAUAUUAGAAAAAUCUAAUUGUUUUCCACAUUUAUGAUUUUAAGCGAAAAUUAAAUGAUAAUAAUUCCAAAUCUAGUGUAUCUAGAUUUUGGGUGUUACAUGUUUCAUCUAUAAACUUGUCGACUUCUCCAAUGGAGAGGCUUGGAAUUCUGACUGUAUAGCUUGCAAAUCAAUGCCAUCAUCUAUUAGACAUUUUUCUUCUAUACUUAUCAUCUCCGCGUCAACUAUAGAUGUUUUACCUAAUACCUCAUCAUUUUAGCUUUAUCUUCUGACGGGGGAGGUACUAACAUUAGGAUAGUAGCUUCAGAGAUGGGGUUACUAUAACCAACAUUGUUGACCUUGUCCAAGUGACAUGGUCAUAUUGGACUUUUCAAUUUGUAAGAGUACUAGAAAAAAUAUACUUUAAUGUCAUUUCGAGAUUGAAGGGCGAGUCUAGGACUUGGUUGAUCUUUCGAAUGAUAGGACAGCUAUUGGGAACAAAUGGAUUUCCAAGAUAAAACAAAGAGCUGAUGGGACUAUAGAGAGGUACAAGGUUUUCUUGGUAGUGAAGAGUUACCCUCAAUAAGACGGUAUAGAUAAUGUGGAGGCCUUUCAACCAGUAGUGAGAUUUACUUAAUUUGCCUAAUCUUAGCCAUAGCGACAUGUUUAGAUUUAGAGUUACAUCAACUUGACAUGAAGAUUGCUUUUCUCAAUGGAGAAUUAUAUGAAGAAAUCUACACAUAACAACCAGUAGAUUUCAUUAAAAUACGUCAAGAGAAUAAAGUUUGUAAAUUGAAAAGAUCAAUCUAUGGUAAUUUUAUUUGAAAAGAUCACACAAUUUUGUCACGAUUAACGAAUUUAUUUGAAAAAGCCCAAUAUGUUCUUUUCAAUUUACAAACUUUGUGAAUAUGUUCCAUUCGCUUUGAUGAGCUUUCAAGAUGAGAUUUCAAAAACUAAUCAACAUGUAUUUUACUAUUCAUUAAAUCUAUUUAAUAGCUAGAUCAAGUUCCCGAUUGAGAUUGCCUAGAUGAAUAAAUAUAUAGAUAACUCCUAUUUUAUCUGACACCCCAGCUUGUAUUCACCCACUGGACAAAUGCAUUUACUAUUUCACUUUUGCAACACAAUUGUGAAUAUAACAUAAAUGAUAAAGUUGAUUAUUUUCAUUGAUUAAUUGAGGGGGCUAGAAAUACUCGAACUGGUGUUAUGAGAUACAUUUGAGUUACAGCGAGAAUUAAUUUCCUCUUAUAGAGCUACUAUCUAUCCCUAACAUGCUAUAUAUAUCCCUAACGUGCGUAUAUUGUUGUGUACUCUUAAAUUAAAUUGUUGGAAUAAACGGGUCCCCUAUGUGGGUUGACUCGACUGGAAUUGAACGUAAAUGGGAGGGAGGAGUUUGAAAUUCAGUUUGAAACUCAACCUCCCACAACCCACAACUUCCAUAGACAACCUCCAUUGUACCCAUAUCAUAUAAAAAAUAUAUAUAUAAUUCGUGUGUGAAGAAAAAGAUGAGAAACACAUAUAGGCUAUGACUUGAUUUGGAAGUAUAACAUCUUAAAUUUGGUCUUUGGAUUGUGGCUAUCAAACUCCUUCCCGUGUGAUUGAAUUUCUAACCAAAAAGUGAGUACAAAGUAGAAUAGGAAGUAAGCAAAAGGAAGGUAAGUUAUUUAACAUCAUUUUUGUGAUUUCAAGUAAGUUUCACUCGUGGGAAUUCGGUUAUAAGCAUGCAAGUACAUUUUACAAACAAAAAUAAGGGGUUUACUAUCAUGAAUUUUCCUAGCAAUAGUUAAAUAUACUAACAUAUAGAAUAAUGCUAGCAUUUGUGGCUUAGGUUGAUCAACAACUUGAGCAAUUGGAUGUAAAAACUGCCAUUUUAGAUUGUGAGCUUGAAGAAAAUAACUUUUUUGUGUCAACUUGAAAGUUUUGUGAAGAAAAGUGAAUUAGAUUCCUAUUCAUCUUCUAAAGAAAACAAUGUGGUUUAAAAAAAUUAUACUGAAAAAUGGUAUAAAAGGUUUAUUAGCUCAUUUGUUCAACUAAUUGGCUUCAAAAGAAGUAAUUAUGGCAUUGUUUAUAUUUUAAAACAAGUAGAAAGAACAUGUUUUUUUUUUUUUUUAAUACUUGUUACCAUAUGAUGACAAUACGUUAUUUAUAAGUCGUAAUAUGUAUGAAAUAAAUGGAAUUAAGAAAAAUUCAAAUAAUGAAAUUGAGAAAAGGACAUAAUUAAUGCUAAAAAUAAAAAAAUAGUUGGUAUUGAUAUACUAAGGAAUAGAAUACACCGUUCUUGUAUUGAAACAAUAUUCUUAUAACAAAAAAGUGUUAACUAACUAUUAGAUGACUGAAACUAAUGUGACUUCAAUACUUUUAGCAGGUCAUUUUACCUUAGUAAAGAUGUCCUUCAACUUGAGAAGAAAUAGACCACAUGAAAAAGGUCUCAUACUCUAACGAUAUAGGUACAGUGAUGUACACUAUGAUAUGUACAAGGCCUACAAGGCAACCAAUAUACUUAGUAUUUACUUGAAUACCCCUUGAACUUUUAACAUUCGGCAGCUAUGUGGUUCCUAAGAUAUCGUAAUGGAACUUCAACUUUAGGGCUAAUCCUUAAAAAAGUAAUGAGUGGAUAAAGUUAAAAGGGUAUGUAAAUUGUAACAGUGCGGGUGAUAGGAUAAAAUAAAAUCUACUUUGUCCUAUGUGUCUACGUCGUGUGGUGCUUGUAUUUUUUAUGGUUCAGUAUGCUAAAUGUCAGUAAACCAGAAGCUUUCUCAAGUGGUGUGAUCAAGAGGGUGAAGAGGAACGACUAUAGCAUUGUGUGUUCGAUAUGGAAGAAACUCUAUAUGGAGACAUCGAAAACUUCAAAGUUAAGAAGGGGAUUGUUAAGAUUUUGACUUGAUAUUGUUUAACAAGAAUGUGAUUGUAUUUGUGUAUCAAAAUAUGGGUUUUAAUUUUUCAAUCGUAAAGGGAUUGUUCAGAAUCCCAAAUUGGCUAAGAAACUAACAGCCCCUCCAUUUGCCGUCCUAUAUAAAGGAUUCUCUUUUAUGCUUCAUUUAUUACAAUUUGGAGUUAGUCAUGGGUUAUAGUGCAUCGGAGUCAUGCACUCUGAGUAGACCUCCACCGGAAACGUAAGCAUUAAGAUAUGAAGGCUUCUUAUUCCACAAUAGCAAAUACACUUUUUCACUCUUUCAUAUACUAGGGGAUUUCACUUGGAAAAGAAAGAAAUUGUUGAACUUCAGGCACCAAUUAAUUGGGGUGAACAUAUCUUGUUCUUCUUCUCGAUUUUCUAUUGAUUUUACAUUUUGCAAUUUACGUUUGUGCUACUCAACAAACCUAAGACUAGAGAAUAAUAAAAGAUAGUGAAAUUUAACUAAUCCAUAUUACACUUCAACAUUGACCACAUAAAGUUCGAUAGAGCAAAAUGUGAAAACAGAAAACUGCAAACAGAUUUCGAAGCAAUCUCCAGAUUUUGUAUUCUGACUAGAAAAUAAUGAAAGGUAGAGCAUUUGACUAAUCAAUUUUAGGCUUCAACAUUGGCAGCUUAAAGUUUCCC
rnacentral:lncRNA from 1 species